AUAACUGGUAGGCUGGGGCUUUUGAAACUAGAGAGGCUCCAAUUGCAAGUCAACGAACAUCAAUCAAAAUCCCUUUCUUCCCCGAAGACACUAUUAGAUAAUGAGGACAACUGAGUUCCUCUGAUUGCUACACACAGAUUCAUUUUCUUAUUUAUAUCCAGCCCCCACUACUCCUCCUAAUAAUGUUAAUUUGUCUCGUAAUGUCGAGAACAACGCACUCCUUGCCACAUGGGAUGCUAUUGAGACCACACCCCCUGAGGGAGAGGUAGCGUUCUAUCAGGUUGAAUUCAAGGACACGAGAUCCUCCAUUGCUAACACACUGUUCAUUGAUCCAGGGUUUAGUUUCUCUAGUAUAUUCAAUGUCAGUAAUGCUCAGGGAUAUCAAGUGAGGGUGAGGACAGCAGUCCAGAGUACAGCUAAUCCUGAUGUUAUUUACGUGUACAGUCCAUACAGUAGGUGGGCCUCAGUCAGUGGCGUUAUAAUA